UUUUGGACAUGAUGUUAUCUAUCAGAGGCUGUUUCUGAGGAUGAGCCAUAGCUUCUCCCAGUGCUGCAAAAAAAAACUGAUUUGCCGUUCUGAUCAAAAA
rnacentral:snoRNA from 2 species